AUGGGCGGGGUCUGUUUAGGUUUUGUGUGUGAUUGACUUCCGGUUAAGCACUUCCGGGCAACAGUUAGCUAGUUACAUAUCUCACUGUCGCUUCUUACAACUUCCCAAAUAUGGACGAAAAACAGGCAUUUUAUGAUCGGUAAGGGGAUGCCACAAUAACUGGCAGAAACGGAAGCUGUUCAUGGAACAGGAGUGUUUUGACCACCCAACAAUUUUUGAGAGAGUAGUGCAGUUGUGAGGCGCCUUUUGAUUUGCACCAGCCUCCUAAGGGCGUGGAGUCUCUUCGGAAUUGCCUCAGCGGAUUGCACUUGAAGAAACCUCUAAACAUAAACAUUUUUAAAAAGAAAACUCCAAACCGACCCUAUGUGUGUUCCUAUCACUUCGUGGACAAGAGGCCGACUGAAGAGCAUCCUUUCACUGAGAAGUGGCUGGGCUAUGAUGCUCCAGUACAGAUCAGAAGGCGACAUCUCAUCAGUACAUAAACACAUACAUGUACAGUAGCUGUUAGCUAGCUGCUAACGUUACUCGCUAGCUAUCGUCACACAUAGGGUAUCCUGAAUCAGGCAGACGUUAGCUAACUGUUAGUAGUAAAUGAAGACAAUUGUGAUGUGGAGUCUGAUCUGAGUGUGCCAAUGGCACUGCAGCAUAAAGAUGCUGAUACUCAAUGGGAUGUUCCAGCACUGACUGAUCACAGCUAUGUGUCAAGAGAACCAGUCAACAAGCCCAUCUGCCACAAACAAACCCAAUGUGGUGGUGCAGAGUCAUUGACCCACACCAUCCUGAAGAAUGACACUAGCUCAGUGUUGUAUACUGGCCUUCCUCUAAGCAUUUUCUUUAACCAUGUAGCAUUUCUGCAUAAAUUCUACAUGGCUAACUUCAAAAUGCAUAUCACUGAUCAAAUACUGAUAACCUUGAUGAAGCUGAAUCUACUCCACAGUGAUCUUGCUGAACACUUUCAUGUGUCCCAGGGAGUAGUGAGCAGAAUCCUUUCCUACUGGAUUGACACAAUGGAGGAGCUCAUGAGGAUCUACAUUCCAUGGCAGCCGAGGUUAGACAAUCCAGAAGAUGCUGCCUCAGUGCUUCAAAGAGAAGUUAUCCAACACCACUUGCAUCAUCCACUGCUCCGAGACCAUUCUUCAGAAAGCACACAAUCUCGAUUCCAGAUGGGAGUCAUACAGCCACUAUUAUUCCAACAAUACUCUCAAGUAUUUGGUUGCCAUUGCUCUAUGUGGACUCAUUAUGUUCAUUUCUCCUGCAUAUAGAGGCAGAUGCAGUGACAAGUUCAUCACCCAAAACUCUGGCUUCCUGGAAAACCUUAGGCCUGGCGAUGAAGUUAUGGCUGACGGGCUUCAUCAUCUGAGAUCUGCUGUAUGAGAGGAAGGUAAACCUUGCCAUACCAGCCUUCACCCAGAAAGGAGGCCAGCUGUCUGACGAGGAUGUCGCAAGCACAAGAAGGAUAGUUAAUGUGCAUAUACAUGUUUAGAGAGUUAUCAGACACAAGGUGUUCAAAUCCUCUUCCAGACUGUUCCCAUCAACCUGACACACAAAAUGGACAAAGUCCUUAGAAUCUGUGCAGCCCUUGUUAACAUGCAGUGCGAGAUCAUCCAUGAGGAUGCAGAAUGAGCAGUGAGAAUGUUCAUACAUUUGAAAUGUAACUUUAAACACUAUUAUUUCAUCCACCUUAGAUACUAUGUAUGUGUAUAUAUAUAUAUGCUCUCCAUCCAACCUCACUGAGCUCGAGAUGUUUUACAAGGAGGAAUGGGAAAAAAAUGUCAGUCUCUCGAUGUGCAAAACUGAUAGAGACAUACCCCAAGCGACUUACAGCUGUAAUCGCAGCAAAAGGUGGCGCUACAAAGUAUUAACUUAAGGGGGCUGAAUAAUUUUGCACGCCCAAUUUUUCAGUUUUUGAUUUGUUAAAAAAGUUUGAAAUAUCCAAUAAAUGUCGUUCCACUUCA